UACGAAGGGGGCUAGCGUUGCUCGGAAUUACUGGGCGUAAAGGGCGCGUAGGCGGAUGUCUAAGUUGGGGGUGAAAUCCCGGGGCUCAACCUCGGAACAGCCUUCAAUACUGGAGAGCUUGAGUCCGGGAGAGGUGAGUGGAACUGCGAGUGUAGAGGUGAAAUUCGUAGAUAUUCGCAAGAACACCAGUGGCGAAGGCGGCUCACUGGCCCGGUACUGACGCUGAGGUGCGAAAGCGUGGGGAGCAAACAGG
rnacentral:rRNA from 1 species